rnacentral:rRNA from 1 species
AAAAACAUCGCCUCUUGCCCAAACAUAAGAGGUCCAGCCUGCCCAGUGAGAAAUUUAACGGCCGCGGUACCCUAACCGUGCGAAGGUAGCAUAAUCACUUGUUCUUUAAAUGGGGACUAGUAUCAACGGCAUCACGAGGGUUGCACUGUCUCCUUUCUCCAAUCAGUGAAAUUGAUCUCCCCGUGAAGAAGCGGGGAUACAGCAACAAGACGAGAAGACCCCAUGGAGCUUUAAAUCUAACAGCAACUCUAACAUAUAAUACCCCACAACCACAGAGCCAUGCAUGAAGAUUUUAGGUUGGGGCGACCGUGGAGCAAAAAUCACCCUCCAUGACGAAAGGGGCUAAACCCUUAUCCUAGAGCCACCACUCCAAGAAUUAGCACACUAACGAACUGUGACCCGAUAAUCGAUCAACGGACCAAGUUACCCUGGGGAUAACAGCGCAAUCUACUUCAAGAGCCCAUAUCGACAAGUAGGCUUACGACCUCGAUGUUGGAUCAGGGUACCCCAAUGGUGCAGCCGCUACUAACGGUUCGUUUGUUCAACGAUUAAAACCCUACGUGAUCUGAG